CCCAGGCCCAGCUGUACCUCUCCAUCUUCAGCUCCGCCUCCGAGUAGUUAGGGCGGCGGCGGCGGCGGCCAUGGCCGCCUGCUGCUGCGCCUCCUCGCCCCGCCUCUUCUACUCGUACCGCAGCAGCAGCAGCAGCCCCUCACGAUCACGACGACGCGCCCGCCUCAUCGUCUACCCACCUUCAGCAGUAGUAGCAGUAGCACCUGCCCCCAGGCUCUCUUGGCGAACCCUCGCCUCGCCCGAUCCGCCGCCGCUCGCCGACGACCGGGACGACGCCAUCGGCUUCCAGAUCCAGGUCUCCAAGGUGGGGAAGCGGAACCGCCGGGUGGUGCGCGUCGACGCGCCGCUGGAGGCCGUCUGGGCCACGCUCACCGACUACGAGGGCCUCGCCGACUUCAUCCCCGGUCUCUCCGAGUGCCGCCUGCUCGACCAAGCCCACGGCUUCGCGCGCAUCUACCAUGUCGGCGAGCAGGAUCUGGCGCUUGGCUUCAAGUUCAACGCCAAGGGCACCAUCGACUGCUACGAGGGGGACAUGGAGUCACUGCCCGCCGAGAGCCGGGGGGGGGGGGGGGGGGCGGAGGGAGAUCGCCUUCAACAUGAUCGACGGCGAUUUCAAGCUCUUCCAGGGGAAAUGGUCCGUCGUCCAGGAACAACACCACCAGGGUCAGGCUGGACCACCAGCAGAUUCGGAUUCUGAUUCUGAUUCUUCGUACCACUACCACACCACACUGUCCUACCUGGUUGAGCUGGAGCCCAAGCUGUGGGUUCCGGUCAGGCUACUGGAAGGAAGGAUCUGCAGUGAGAUCAAGAACAACCUUGUUUCCAUCAGAGAACGAGCACAGCUGCAGCAGCACCACGAGGUAACAAGAAGCUAGCUAGUACAAGCUUCAUGUAAUAAUCUUUUUUUUUUAAAAAAAAGAAGAAGAGAGAAUCAGUCCAGAGAAGAGAAAGUAACCUGCCCAAGGGAAGCGUGCAAUCACAUCGUCAACACCGAUCGAAAUCGAAUUCCCUGUGUUGUGUUGUGUUGUAACCAAUGCAAAACCAUCCAAGAGGCCAACAGUUUUAUCACUUGCUA